CGGCAACAGCUCAGAUUUGAAAUCUGGCCCUCUAUGGGGUCCGAGUUGUAAUCUGUAGAGGAUGCUUUUGGCGACGCGCCUUCCGAGUCCCCUGGAACGGGGCGCCAGAGAGGGUGAGAGCCCCGUAUGGUUGGACGCCGAACCUCUGUAAAGCUCCUUCGACGAGUCGAGUAGUUUGGGAAUGCUGCUCAAAAUGGGAGGUAAAUUUCUUCUAAAGCUAAAUACCGGCCAGAGACCGAUAGCGCACAAGUAGAGUGAUCGAAAGAUGAAAAGCACUUUGAAAAGAGGGUCAAAUAGCACGUGAAAUUGCUGAAAGGGAAGCGCUUGUGACCAGACUUGCGCCCGGUUGAUCAUCCAGCGUUCUCGCUGGUGCACUCUGCCGGGCUCAGGCCAGCAUCGGCUCUCCCAGGGGGAUAAAGGUCGCGGGAACGUAGCUCUCUCCGGGGAGUGUUAUAGCCCGUGGCGGAAUGCCCUUAGGGGGGGCCGAGGCCCGCGUUCGCAAGGAUGCUGGCGUAAUGGUCACCAGCGACCCGUCUUGAAACACGGACCAAGGAGUCAAGCAUUAGGGCGAGUCUUUGGGUGCAAAACCCGCAGGCGCAAUGAAAGUGAACGGAGGUGAGAGCUUCGGCGCAUCAUCGACCGAUCCUGAUGUUCUCGGAUGGAUUUGAGUAAGAGCCUUACCGCUUGGACCCGAAAGAUGGUGAACUAUGCCUGAAUAGGGUGAAGCCAGAGGAAACUCUGGUGGAGGCUCGCAGCGGUUCUGACGUGCAAAUCGAUCGUCAAAUUUGGGCAUGGGGGCGAAAGACUAAUCGAACCAUUAACAGUAUACUAGGUGGUUAAGAGGCCUGGUUGGCAAAGAUUAGGCCUAGUUGUCAGCGCUUAUAGCGUC
rnacentral:rRNA from 1 species